CGACAUUCAUUAUGUUUCCUGUCUUGAGAACUGUUUCUAGUAGUUUAGGAACAGUAUGCUGUUUUUUUAAUUUCUUGCAAGCCACCUGAGACCAAAAGACACAAACACUAAGAGAUUUGUAUCAAAGAAGGUUCAAAGGUCAGAACAUUGGACAAAUCAGAACCGACACAAAAACUUAAGGUCAGCACCUUGGACAAGCUCAGAAGAGAGCAAAAACUCAUCUGUUAUUAUAUAGAUUUGGUUUAGUCAUAUAAAUCUCAAAGUCUCAAAAACGAAAACCCAGUUUUGUGGUGUAUGAAACAUAUAUAUAUAAUUAAAGUAGUAAUUGUGUAUAGUUAGAGUAAAUAAUUGUUGGACCAAAAAAAUAAAAAAAUAGUUUAGAUGGUCCAAUAACUUUGCUUAAGUAGAUUUUUUAGGACUACUUCUCUUUUAAUAGUAUAGAUAUAUCAAAUUAAAUAGACAAAUUAUGUCUUGUUCUCGUUAUUUCAAGUGUGGUUUGGAUCGUUUGGUAAGAUGUCUCAUUCCUGAUAUGCUAAUAUACACUGAUGCGUCAAC
rnacentral:lncRNA from 1 species